rnacentral:rRNA from 1 species
GAUAAACGCUGGCGGCGUGCAUGAGACAUGCAAGUCGAACGAAGGAUCGGGCUUGCUCGAUCCUUAGUGGCGGACGGCUGAGUAACGCGUAGGUGACCUACCCCGAAGUGGGGAAUAACUGCCCGAAAGGGUGGCUAAUACCGCAUGUGGUCGCACGUUCAUUCGUGCGAGUAAAGCCGCAAGGCGCUUCGGGAGGGGCCUGCGUCCGAUUAGCUCGUUGGUGGGGUAAUGGCUUACCAAGGCGACGAUCGGUAGGUGGUCUGAGAGGACGAUCACCCAGACUGGGACUGAGACACGGCCCAGACUCCUACGGGAGGAAGCAGUCGGGAAUUUUGCUCAAUGGGGGAAACCCUGAAGCAGCAACGCCGCGUGAGGGAUGAAGGCCUUCGGGUUGUAAACCUCUUUUGUCAGGGACGAUGAUGACGGUACCUGGCGAAUAAGCCACGGCUAACUACGUG